UGUGCGUGUGUGAGCAGGCAUCUUCUCAGCCUACAUGUGGAUUCCUAAAUCUGCAGGCUGGUUAGAUGGUUGUCAUGCAUUCAUCUGAUAACUGC
ensembl:miRNA